GGGGAUGUAGCUCAAUGGUAGAAUGCUUGCCUGGCAUGUAUGAGGCCCUGGGUUUGAUUCCCAGCACCACAA
rnacentral:tRNA from 1 species